rnacentral:rRNA from 1 species
GACGUAGGGCGCGAGCGUUGUCCGGAUUUAUUGGGCGUAAAGAGCUUGUAGGCGGUUUGUCGCGUCUGCUGUGAAAUUUCGGGGCUCAACCCCGAACUUGCAGUGGGUACGGGCAGACUAGAGUGUGGUAGGGGAGACUGGAAUUCCUGGUGUAGCGGUGAAAUGCGCAGAUAUCAGGAGGAACACCGAUGGCGAAGGCGGAUCUCUGGGCCGAUACUGACGCUGAGGAGCGAAAGCGUGGGGAGCAAACAGG